GGACGGUUAGCUCAGUUGGUUAAGAGCGCUUGCUCGACACGCAAGAGGUCACAGGUUCGAGUCCUGUACCGUCCA
rnacentral:tRNA from 1 species